rnacentral:lncRNA from 1 species
AAGACACCCAAACAUCAACAAAAGUUGCUGAGGUUCUCUGAAGCAGUAGGUUGUUACCACAAAAGCAUGCCUGAAUCUUAAAUCCUAUCUCAGGUAACCAAGCUAAGAUGAUGCCUUUCCACUGUAAAAAUAUGAAUGGAUUUUGAAUGUAGUGAAGAUAACAUUUUAUAUCUCUCUUUUAGAGCCGAAAAAUGUUCUGCUUCCUAACUGGUCUUCACACAGACAGAAAGAAGGUUACGUAAAACAAUUAAUCUCAAUAAAAACUCAUUUUAUGGAUUACUUACAUACAUUCAGUACGGAAAUACAGACAGAGAUUGAGGGUCAGGUGAAGUUUUAUAGCUGGACAACCAAACUGCAAAGUCUUACACUUCAAAGAAAUCUUCUCCACUGGAACAUAGUUAAAAAAAUGGUCUAACAGGUGCUAAGAUACCAUAUCCAACUAUUUUCAUCAUAACAGCAUUAAAGAGUAUCAUCAGUCUUCCUUUAAAAAUCCAACAAUAAACUACGUGUCUUGGCAAGUGAGUCA